rnacentral:ncRNA from 7 species
AAAUUGAAGAGUUUGAUCAUGGCUCAGAUUGAACGCUGGCGGCAGGCCUAACACAUGCAAGUCGAACGGUAACAGGAAGCAGCUUGCUGCUUCGCUGACGAGUGGCGGA